UGGUCCAGUAUCUGGAGCCUGGAUCUCGUCAUUGUUCCGCAAAACUUGGUAUAAAACACAGAGAGUCCUGCCAAGGUUUCACUCGCAGAAAAAACAACAACAUAUAACCAGAGUAAUGGCCGGGUACCAUCACUGCAUCUCCCUGGCCUUGCUGUGUCUCUUGCUGUGCCAAGACUCUCUGGCAACCGAACCAUACAAAAGUACGGCGUGCGAGGCCUAUAGUUCAUCAGGUCCAUUUGGGCCCCACGCAGUAUUCCUCAUGGAUCAUUUCCUCCCGGAUGGAGCACCAAACACAGCUGACGAAAGCGCUUGGAAUGAAUACCUUGGAACAUAUGAUCACAUGAUCAGAAACUUCCAGUCCUACCUGAUGCCCAACGAUCUAAAUCAUGUGAUGGACGUGUGCAAAAACAGUGGGGGCCGGCAGUUCACAGGCAAAUCGAAUAGAUUUGGGUCAAACGGAAGGACGGACCUGUGCAUCAGCAAGAGGCCAUUCAAAUUUCUCACAGUACACAAGGUAGAUAAUAGAUGGGUACCUCGCGUCAUAGCCGAGGAAAGGAACCUGAUUCUGGGCUGUGCCAAAGUGCAAAACGGUUGUAAGCCCGUCCACUUCGAGCGCAACAAUUGUGACGCAAAGCCUAAUGACGAGGAUAAAGGCUGCGAAGGCGGCCCACCAUAAUAUAAUCUCUAGAGUCUUUGGUGGUGGCUGUAGUCGGCCCUGCUUCUACCUAUCUGCGGUCGUUCCUUUUUGACAGCAGGGGCUUUUAGUAUCCAUGCUUUAUAUUAAUCACAUUUAUUUUCAAAGCUUAAUAUUUUUGGAAGAAUUGAGCGUGUAAGCCUACUACUAAUUUGACAAAUGUGGCAUGAUAUGAAAAGUGUUCCGGUCUGUUAAUUUCUUUCAAAGUGUAAACAUUCACAACGUUUCUAUGUAUUGAAUUACCUUCAAAUCCACCAAUUUAAAUAUAUAUACAUUUGAACAUAGAGAUAGAUAGAUAUAUAUGAAAAAUUCUCUAAUUAAACAAUUUGGUAGACUUUGUGCCACAUACUCUCGACCUAUAAGCCAACAUGCGUAUUUGUUCCCCUUAAGCCUACUACUUUAUUUUUCUGGCUUUCUGUGAUCGAACCCGUCUCUGUUCUGAGUCACUAUUGACCCUUCUUCCUAAUGCUAUAUGAAGUACUGCAAUAAAUUCUACCUGGUUCAA